GGGGAGGCUGCCCGUUUGAACGCGCCGCCUGGACUGCUUCCCAUUCUCGUGCGCAGCCAACAUACGCGCGCGCGGUUUCAGCUGCUGGAGGUUGUCCCAACAGGGAGCAGAUUGUUCCUGCGGUGUUUCAGUGUUGUAGAUCGCAACGUCAGCCCUUGCGUAUAUUGUUAUGGUGAUCUUAGAAGUGCUUUACUUUCUGGAAAACUGGGAGACAUAAGCGAGACCUGAUCGAUGUCACCCGUCAUUGCUUCAAGUAUGGUGUUGAAUACGGUCCUUGAAUAGAAUUGCUUGGAGGCGGUACAAAUUCAGCAUAUCCUUCUUUCUUCUUCAUUUGAUGCUGUAUUCCAGUGUUUAAUUUACUAUCCUAGAAUGAAUGGAUGAGCCAAACGUUCAAAGUAAUGUUUUGUCUUACGUGUCUGAUAAGUGAUUAGGAACAGAGGAGACCAAACGAGUAGACCAUGUUGGCUUGCUUCAAUGUUUUGGAAAGAACGCGUGUCUUCAGCAAAGCAGUGACAUGCAGUCAUCCUUUGAGCCGGAUUUGGAAAGGAGCGGGUCACCCAUGACGCGGUAUCACCCCAGUUGUGAUUUCUCCGUUUUGUUCUGUGAUUCUACAUGUCUAUAUGGCGCGAGAGCUUCUCCAAUUUUCCCCUAUCUUUUUUUUUUAUUUCAAAUACAUUGCCGGUGCAAUAAUAGACAUUGAAUAAGAGUGGCUUCACUAUAAUGUCAUUUUUUUCCAUAAUCCGCGCAAUAGAAACAGACGCUACACGAUACACAGAGCGAUCUCAUGAUUGAAUUCUUGACACAUGCACAGUUUGCCGGCAAACAGCCAACAUAAUGUGCAUAGAUGCGAAGUUGCCCGGUAUAUAGUUCAAGUCGAUGUAGACGCGAUUGCGCGAAAAAGAACAAAAUGAACAAAUUCGGAUAGGACAAGAAAAAAAAAUAUUAGGGUAACCAUGUAUAGAAAAGACUGUUCAGAAGUAAGGUAGCGUAAGUAUGAACUAAAGAUUGCGUUGCGAGGAAUCACGAAGUGCCCACCACAUGAUUGUACAGUAAUUGGACUAAAAAAAAAGCGAAGAAAAAAACAGAAAGAAUGAAACGUAGAAAGUUCAAAAAUGCGACCCUGUGAUGCAAUGCACAGGCGCCCUAAUCUUAAUUCGUCUGCAGUGACCGAAUUAGGAUUGGGGAGCCGGGUGAAAACGUUCCAGUAUUUGCAUUCCGAGUGCGCGUCAAUAAACUCUGUCGGCGAUAAAAUACGCGGAGCCAUUCACUCACUCGGAGCCCGCAGUGCAGCUUCGAGUCGGUAACUAACUUUUUUUUUUUUUUUUUUUUUGAGGAAACGCGCAAGUAGCGACUGUAGCUAUCAUGGAGAUAACACGCACGUGUGAAGUCUUGGCGCUCGCAAAAAAAAAAAA
rnacentral:lncRNA from 1 species